CUAGGCGCGACUGAGAGAGCAC
rnacentral:miRNA from 1 species